rnacentral:tRNA from 1 species
AGAGGUAUGGCACAGUGGUAGAGCACCUGCCUGCCAAGCAAAAAGCCUUAAGUUCAAACCUUAGUAUCACAG